rnacentral:rRNA from 1 species
GACGAACGCUGGCGGCGUGCUUAACACAUGCAAGUCGAACGGUGAAGUGCCUUCCGUUUUGGUGGGUGUGGAGGCGUGGCGAACGGGUGAGUAACACGUGAGUAACCUGCCCCCUUCUUCGGGAUAACCGCAUGAAAGUGUGGCUAAUACGGGAUAUUCUGGGUCUGUCGCAUGAUGGGUCUGGGAAAGAUAUUGUUUCGGUGGGGGAUGGGCUCGCGGCCUAUCAGCUUGUUGGUGGGGUGAUGGCCUACCGAGGCGGUGACGGGUAGCCGGCCUGAGAGGGUUGACUAGCCGACCUGGGAUGGGGCACGGCCAAACCUGGAACGAGAGACAGCAGAGACGAAUACGGGACGAAGGAGGGGGGAAUAAUGCAGCAUGGCCGCGUGAGUGAUGGAGGGCUUCGGGUUGAGAGCCUCAUUCGCCAGUGAAGCAAGCCUGCCUCGUUUGUGAGUGGAUUGACGGUAGCUGGAUAAGAAGCGCCGGCUAAAUACGUG